UCUUUCCCAGAGCUCCUCGGAUCAGCAAAGAAGGUGAACGUCAACUUCCAAGACACCGAUGGGUUCUCUGCUCUGCACCAUGCGGCACUCAACGGCAACACGGAGCUCAUCGCCCUGCUGCUGGAGGCGCAGGCCGCCGUGGACAUCAAGGACAAUAAAGGGAUGCGGCCCUUGCACUACGCAGCCUGGCAAGGCAAGAAGGAGCCCAUGAAGAUGGUGCUCAAAGCGGGCUCCUCGGUGAACAUCCCGUCGGACGAGGGGCAGAUCCCCCUGCACCUCGCGGCGCAGCACGGGCACUACGACGUGUCCGAGAUGCUGCUGCAGCACCAGUCCAACCCCU